AGUUUGAUCAUGGCUCAGAUUGAACGCUGGCGGCAUGCCUUACACAUGCAAGUCGAACGGCAGCACGGGAGCUUGCUCCUGGUGGCGAGUGGCGAACGGGUGAGUAAUGCAUCGGAACGUGCCCUGAAGUGGGGAUAACGUAGCGAAAGUUACGCUAAUACCGCAUAUUCUGUGAGCAGGAAAGCAGGGGAUCUUCGGACCUUGCGCUUUUGGAGCGGCCGAUGUCGGAUUAGCUAGUUGGUGGGGUAAAGGCCCACCAAGGCGACGAUCCGUAGCGGGUCUGAGAGGAUGAUCCGCCACACUGGAACUGAGACACGGUCCAGACUCCUACGGGAGGCAGCAGUGGGGAAUUUUGGACAAUGGGCGCAAGCCUGAUCCAGCCAUGCCGCGUGAGUGAAGAAGGCCUUCGGGUUGUAAAGCUCUUUCGGUGGGGAAGAAAUUGCUUGGGUUAAUACCCUGAGUAGAUGACGGUACCCGCAUAAGAAGCACCGGCUAACUACGUG
rnacentral:rRNA from 1 species